UACGUAGGGUGCAAGCGUUAAUCGGAAUUACUGGGCGUAAAGCGUGCGCAGGCGGCUUUGCAAGACAGAUGUGAAAUCCCCGGGCUUAACCUGGGAACUGCGUCUGAUACUGGAUGGCUUGAGUUUGGGAGAGGGAUGCGGAAUUCCAGGUGUAGCGGUGAAAUGCGUAGAUAUCUGGAGGAACACCGGUGGCGAAGGCGGCAUCCUGGACCAACACUGACACUGAGGAGCGAAAGCCAGGGGAGCAAACGGG
rnacentral:rRNA from 1 species